UACGUAGGUGGCAAGCGUUGUCCGGAUUUACUGGGCGUAAAGAGCGCGCAGGCGGUCGUUCAAGUCGCGUGUGAAAGUCCCCGGCUCAACUGGGGAGGGUCACGCGAUACUGAUCGACUCGAAGGCAGGAGAGGGUAGUGGAAUUCCCGGUGUAGUGGUGAAAUGCGUAGAUAUCGGGAGGAACACCAGUGGCGAAGGCGACUACCUGGCCUGUUUCUUGACGCUGAGGCGCGAAAGCUAGGGGAGCAAACGGG
rnacentral:rRNA from 1 species